rnacentral:rRNA from 1 species
UGCAGUCGAGCGGUAGAGAGAAGCUUGCUUCUCUUGAGAGCGGCGGACGGGUGAGUGAACGUAGGAAUCUGCCUGGUAGUGGGGGAUAACGUCCGGAAACGGACGCUAAUACCGCAUACGUCCUACGGGAGAAAGCAGGGGACCUUCGGGCCUUGCGCUAUCAGAUGAGCCUAGGUCGGAUUAGCUAGUUGGUGAGGUAAUGGCUCACCAAGGCGACGAUCCGUAACUGGUCUGAGAGGAUGAUCAGUCACACUGGAACUGAGACACGGUCCAGACUCCUACGGGAGGCAGCAGUGGGGAAUAUUGGACAAUGGGCGAAAGCCUGAUCCAGCCAUGCCGCGUGUGUGAAGAAGGUCUUCGGAUUGUAAAGCACUUUAAGUUGGGAGGAAGGGCAGUAAGCUAAUACCUUGCUGUUUUGACGUUACCGACAGAAUAAGCACCGGCUAACUCUGUUG